GUUGGGGAUGGGCUCGCGGCCUAUCAGUUUGUUGGUGAGGUAAUGGCUCACCAAGACGACGACGGGUAGCCGGCCUGAGAGGGCGACCGGCCACACUGGGACUGAGACACGGCCCAGACUCCUACGGGAGGCAGCAGUGGGGAAUAUUGCACAAUGGGGGAAACCUGAUGCAGCGACGCAGCGUGCGGGAUGACGGCCUUCGGGUUGUAAACCGCUUUCAGCAGGGAAGAAGCGCAAGUGACGGUACCUGCAGAAGAAGUACCGGCUAACUACGUGCCAGCAGCCGCGGUAAUACGUAGGGUACGAGCGUUGUCCGGAAUUAUUGGGCGUAAAGAGCUCGUAGGUGGUUGGUCACGUCUGCUGUGGAAACGCAACGCUUAACGUUGCGCGUGCAGUGGGUACGGGCUGACUAGAGUGCAGUAGGGGAGUCUGGAAUUCCUGGUGUAGCGGUGAAAUGCGCAGAUAUCAGGAGGAACACCGGUGGCGAAGGCGGGACUCUGGGCUGUAACUGACACUGAGGAGCGAAAGCAUGGGGAGCGAACAGGAUUAGAUACCCUGGUAGUCCAUGCCGUAAACGUUGGGCACUAGGUGUGGGGGGCAUUCCACGUUCUCCGCGCCGUAGCUAACGCAUUAAGUGCCCCGCCUGGGGAGUACGGUCGCAAGGCUAAAACUCAAAGGAAUUGACGGGGGCCCGCACAAGCGGCGGAGCAUGCGGAUUAAUUCGAUGCAACGCGAAGAACCUUACCAAGGCUUGACAUACACCGGACCGUCCUGGAAACAGGUCUUCUUCUUUGAAGCUGGUGUACAGGUGGUGCAUGGUUGUCGUCAGCUCGUGUCGUGAGAUGUUGGGUUAAGUCCCGCAACGAGCGCAACCCUCGUUCUAUGUUGCCAGCAUGUGAUGGUGGGAACUCAUAGGAGACUGCCGGGGUCAACUCGGAGGAAGGUGGGGAUGACGUCAAAUCAUCAUGCCCUUUAUGUCUUGGGCUUCACGCAUGCUACAAUGGCUGGUACAGAGAGAGGCAGACCCGUGAGGGCAAGCGAAUCCCUUAAAGCCAGUCUCAGCUUAGUCGUAGUCUGCAAUUCGACUACGUGAAGUCGGAGUCGCUAGUAAUCGCAGAUCAG
rnacentral:rRNA from 2 species